rnacentral:rRNA from 1 species
ACACGUAGUCAACCUGCCCUGGAGACGCGGACAAACCCGGGAAACUGGGGCCUAUCCGCGAUAGAUGACCUCAUCUGGAAGGAGAGGUCGUCCAAAAGGCGGCACGGGUAUGCUCUGUGCCUUCCGCUCCAGGAUGGGACUGCGGCCGAUCAGGCUGUUGGCGGGGUAAUGGCCCACCAAACCUGUAACCGGUACGGGCUUUGAGAGAAGGAGCCCGGAGAUGGACACUGAGACAAGGGUCCAGGCCCUACGGGGCGCAUCAGGCGCGAAAACUUCGCAAUGCGCGAAAGCGUGACGAGGCUAGUCCGAGUGCUCCCUGCUAAAGGGAGCUUUUCUCGGCUGUAAAUAGGCCGGGGAAUAAGGGGAGGGCAAGUCUGGUGUCAGCCGCCGCGGUAAUACCAGCUCCUCGAGUGGUCGGGACGAUUAUUGGGCCUAAAGCACCCGUAGCCGGUUUCGUAAGUCCUCUGUUAAAUCCAGUCGCUCAACGGCUGGCCUGCAGAGGAUACUGCGGGACUAGGAGGCGGGAGAGGCGGACGGUACUCCGCGUGUAGGGGUAAAAUCCUUUGAUCCGCGGAAGACCACCAGUGGCGAAGGCGGUCCGCCAGAACGCGCUCGACGGUGAGGGGUGAAAGCUGGGGGAGCGAACCGGAUUAGAUA